AGAGUGAAACUGAAUUGAAAAUCCCUCUCGAAAUUAACACUGCUAACAGGUGUGAUAAACUUUCUAUCCAGGUUCUCCACCAGAGGAGGAUCAAGGUCGGCCAGAGGGACCUUUUAGACCAAGUGAGUGUUAAGUAUAAAUUUCUUUAGAUCUUGUGACUCCUUAGACUAUUGCUCACUGGUGUGAUACAUUUUCCAUGUAGGUCUUCCACCAGCAGAGGAUCAAAGUCAGCCAGAGGGACGCUCCAAAAGAAGUGAGUGGUCAGUAAAUUUCUUCAUGUCUCAUGACUUUUUCAACAAAUGCUGACUGGUGUGGUUAUCUUUCUGUUCAGGUCUUUCACCAGCAGGAGGACAAAAUCAGCCAGAGGGAUCUUUUAGACCAAGUGAGUGUUCAGUAAAUUACUUCACAUCUCAUAAAUUCUUCCACCACUGCUCACUGAUGUACUAAACUUCUCAUCCAGGUUCUCCACCAGCAGAUAAUCAAGGUCGGCCAGAGGGACAUUUUAGACCAAGUGAGUGUUCAGUUUAAAUUUCUUCAGAUCUUCUGGCUUCUUCGACCACUCUUUACUGGUGUGCUAAACUUUCAAUGUAGGUCUUCCACCAGCAGAGGAUGAAAGUCGUCCAACAGGACCUAUUAGACCAAGUCUUCCACCAGCAGAGGAUCAAGGUCGACCAGAGGGACCUUUUAGACCAGGUCCACCAGAGGAGGAUCAAGGUCGGCCAGAGGGACCUUUUAGAAGACGUGAGUGUUGAUAACAUUUCUACAGAUCUAAUGAGUUCUUUGACCACUGCUCACUGGUGUAUUGAUCUUUCCAUCUACGUCAUCCACCAGCAAAGGAUCACAAUCGCCCAGAAGGACCUUUUAGACCAGGUCCACCUGCAGAGGAUCAAGGUCGGCCAGAGGGACGUUUUAGACGAAGUGAUUCAUCAGCAGAAGGACAAAGUCAGCCAGAGGGAUCUUUUAGACCAAGUCUUCCACCAGCAGAGGAUCAAGGCCAGCCAGAUGGAGCUUUUAGACCAAGUCUUCCACCAGCAGAGGAUCAAGGUCGUCCAGAGGGACCUUUUAGACCCAAAAAUAGAGACCGCUUGCAACAUUAACCUUACCUCUGAAAUACAAACACUGGUGAAUGGAUUUUUGAAUUCAAGCUCAUCUCUGUCCUCAAGACAUUUUAACUCAUUUUACAUUUCUCUUUCUAUUCUAUUGCUGUAACACUGAAAAUGAAUGAAACAACAAGUGCAGGAAUGUUUCUUAGGUUUGUACCUGUAUUAGGAGCAGACUGCAUGUGUUUUUUUGUUACAACUUUAUUCUUCAAAGUGAACUGUUCCUUCUCAUCUUAUGCAAGAAAAAAA
rnacentral:lncRNA from 1 species